rnacentral:rRNA from 1 species
GACGAACGCUGGCGGCGCGCCUAACACAUGCAAGUCGAACGAGCAAAGAGGAGCUUGCUUCUCUGAGCGAGUGGCGAACGGGUGAGUAACGCGUGAGGAACCUGCCUCAAACGAGGGGGACAACAGUUGGAAACGACUGCUAAUACCGCAUAAGCCCACGGGUCGGCAUCGACCAGAGGGAAAAGGAGCAAUCCGCUUUGAGAUGGCCUCGCGUCCGAUUAGCUAGUUGGUGAGGUAACGGCCCACCAAGGCGACGAUCGGUAGCCGGACUGAGAGGUUGAACGGGCCACAUUGGGACUGAGACACGGCCCAGACUCCUACGGGAGGCAGCAGUGGGGAAUAUUGCACAAUGGGGGAAACCCUGAUGCAGCGACGCCGCGUGGAGGAAGAAGGUCUUCGGGAUUGUAAAACUCCUGUUGUUGAGGAAGAUAAUGACGGUACUCAACAAGGAAGUGACGGCUAACUACGUG